ACAGUGAAGUAGACUUGCUCUUCCACAACCUCAGGUGUCAUUAGGAAUGAGCCUGCCCUGAGGUCGUGUCUGUUCCUGCAUAAUCUCUGCCAGAGACAAGGCCGGAAAACUUGAAUUUUCCUGUGUUCCUCAGUGGCAGGGCAAACACCUUUGUGCCAGCCAAAGAUGCCUGCUAUGCAGUUUUCUCUUCUCACCACGCAUUCACACAAUUACUCAAUUCUACAAGCAAGCAAGAAAACAGAUAAACAAGUAGCUAUAGACUCUCAAGAGGAAGAAAGAGAUCAGGAUUGUCUUAAUGUUCCCAAGUACAACAUAAAAAGAGUUUUCAGACUCCCAGACCAUUUCAUCCACUUUGUAAGAGCAAUAAGAUGCAGUUUAUGAUGAGGCUUCAUAAAAGCUAUCAUCACCUUCAAAUUCAGAUGGAGAAUAAGGAACCACUCAUCUGUGAUAACAUGUAAGGAAAGGCUUAAAGUACUUUCUAAUAUGUCAUAGCUAUAAUUAUGAAGAGAUAUGUGCCUUUAUUCAAGUCCACUCUGAGGAUAUGCUAUCUUUUCAAAUGAGUGUUUUUGUAUUCUUUGGGUAAAUAUCCAGUAGUGGAAUUACUGGAUCCUAUAGUAAUUUUUUUUUAAUUUUUUUGAGGAACUUCUAUACUGUUUUCCACAGUGGUUGCAGUAGUUUGCAUUUCCACCAGUAGUGCAAGAAGGUUCCUUUUUCUCCAUAUCCUUGUCAACAUUUGUUGUUUUUUGUGUUCUUUAUUUUAGCCAUUUUGACGGGUGUAAGGAGAGAGAUUUCAUUGUGAUUUUGAUUUGCAUUUCCUUGAUGAUAGGUGAUGUUGAAAAUCUUUUCAUGUGUCUGUUGGCCACCUGUAUGUCUUCUUUGGUGAAAUGUCUGUUCGUGUCUUCUGCUCAUUUUUAAAUUGGAUUAUUUGUUUUUUUG
rnacentral:lncRNA from 1 species